rnacentral:rRNA from 1 species
CCCUUAGAUGUCCUGGGCCGCACGCGCGUUACACUGAUGCAUUCAACGAGCUUAUAACCUUGGCCGAGAGGCCUGGGCAAUCUUGUUAACGUGCAUCGUGAUAGGGAUAGAUUAUUGAAAUUAUUAAUCUUGAACGAGGAAUUCCUAGUAAACGCAGAUCAUCAAUCUGCAUUGAUUACGUCCCUGCCCUUUGUACACACCGCACGUCGCACCUACCGAUUGGAUGGUCCGGUGAAGCCUCGGGAUUGUGGUUCUUGCCGCUUUAUUGUGGCGUGACCGCGAGAACUUGUCUAAACCUUAUCAUCUAGAGGAAGGUGAAGUCGUAACA